ensembl:lncRNA
GCCAGGGCUCCGCCCGCGGGCACGCUGGCCAGCUUGCCGAUACCCUAGACAAUGACGUCCUCAGUGUUCUUCCUGUUCAGCUCACUGAUGACCUUGUUGAGCCGAUCGUCAUCUGUCUGGAUGCACAUGCUGUCCAGGAUCUUUCCCAUGUCCUUGGAGCUGGGGGAAGAAUUGCCCCAGCGGGCGGCAAGCAGAAAUAUGAAAAAUGUGAUGAUCCCAUCAACUCAAAUGAUUACUCAGAUAAUCUCCAGGAAAUCAGAAGAGCAUCAAAUCCAAACUCUUGAACUAGAACUCGGAGGACACCAUGCCAACAGCCGUGAUGGCUUUCAUAUGCUUCCUUCUGGGUGGAGGGUGUGCUGUGCGUGCUCAGACGCUCAGUGAUGUCUGACUCUGCAACCUCAUGGACUAUAGCCUGCCAGGCGGGACCUGCUCUAAUUUCUUUUCCUUAUUGGUCAUUUAUGCCUAUUAAUUCAUCGAC